GACGAACGCUGGCGGCGUGCUUAACACAUGCAAGUCGAACGGAAAGGCCCUGCUUUUGUGGGGUGCUCGAGUGGCGAACGGGUGAGUAACACGUGAGUAACCUGCCCUUGACUUUGGGAUAACUUCAGGAAACUGGGGCUAAUACCGGAUAGGAGCUCCUGCUGCAUGGUGGGGGUUGGAAAGUUUCGGCGGUUGGGGAUGGACUCGCGGCUUAUCAGCUUAUUGGUGGGGUAGAGGCUUACCAAGGCUUUGACGGGUAGCCGGCCUGAGAGGGUGACCGGCCACAUUGGGACUGAGAUACGGCCCAGACUCCUACGGGAGGCAGCAGUGGGGAAUAUUGCACAAUGGGCGGAAGCCUGAUGCAGCAACGCCGCGUGCGGGAUGACGGCCUUCGGGUUGUAAACCGCUUUCGCCUGUGACGAAGCGUGAGUGACGGUAAUGGGUAAAGAAGCACCGGCUAACUACGUG
rnacentral:rRNA from 1 species